GACGUAGGGCGCGAGCGUUGUCCGGAUUUAUUGGGCGUAAAGAGCCCGUAGGCGGCUUGUCGCGUCGUCCAUGAAAACCUGGGGCUCAACCCCAGGCUUGCGGUCGAUACGGGCAGGCUCGAGUUCGGUAGGGGAGACUGGAAUUCCUGGUGUAGCGGUGAAAUGCGCAGAUAUCUGGAGGAACACCGGUGGCGAAGGCGGCAUCCUGGACCAAUAUUGACGCUGAGGAGCGAAAGCCAGGGGAGCAAACGGG
rnacentral:rRNA from 1 species